AGCAGCCGCGGUAAUUCCAGCUCCAAUAGCGUAUAUUAAAGUUGUUGCAGUUAAAAAGCUCGUAGUUGAAUUUCGAAAUUUUUUUAUCGGUUGAAUCAACAGGUUCGUACUGAUUUUUAAGAAUUUCUACCUUCUGGAGAACCUUAAUGUCAUUUAUUUGAUGUUUUGGGAAACCAGGACUGUUACCUUGAAAAAAUUAGAGUGUUUAAAGCAGGCUUAUGUCUGAAUAUAUUAGCAUGGAAUAAUGAAAUAGGACGGCAUGGUUCUAUUUUGUUGGUUUCUAGGAUCACCGUAAUGAUUAAUAGGGAUAGUUGGGGGCAUUAGUAUUCAAUUGUCAGAGGUGAAAUUCUUGGAUUUAUUGAAGACUAACUUCUGCGAAAGCAUUUGCCAAGGAUGUUUUCAUUAAUCAAGAACGGAAGUUAGGGGAUCGAAGACGAUCAGAUACCGUCGUAGUCUUAACCAUAAACUAUGCCGACUAGGAAUCGGACGAAGUUAUUUUUUAAUGACUCGUUCGGCGCCU
rnacentral:rRNA from 1 species